rnacentral:rRNA from 1 species
GACGAACGUUGGCGGCGUGCUUAAUACAUGCAAGUCAACUGAAGCAGUGGUAGCAAUAUCGCUGUGGAGGUGGCGCACGGGUGGGUAACACGUAGGUAAUCUGCCUUCAGGUCUGGCAUAACUCCGGGAAACCGGGGCUAAUAGCAGAUGAUGCAGCGGCUCGACAUCGAGACAGUUGUUAAAGCUAUGGCGCCUGAAGAUGAGCCUGCGUCUGAUUAGCUAGUUGGCGGGGUAACGGCCCACCAAGGCAACGAUCAGUAGCUGGUCUGAGAGGAUGAUCAGCCACACUGGAACUGAGACACGGUCCAGACUCCUACGGGAGGCAGCAGUAAGGAAUAUUGCUCAAUGGGAGAAAUCCUGAAGCAGCAACGCCGCGUGAGGGACGAAGGGCUUUUGCUUGUAAACCUCUGUAGUGAGAGAAAAAAAUCCCAAUCUUUGGGACAUGAUGGUAUCUCAAAAGUAAGCCCCGGCUAACUACGUG